CGGGCCGUAGUGUAACGGCAGCACGAGUCCUUCGGGAGGAUUUAGUCCCGGUUCAAAUCCGGGCGGCCCGACCA
rnacentral:tRNA from 1 species